rnacentral:misc_RNA from 1 species
AACGCACCUUGCGCCCCUUGGCCAUUCCGAUGGGCAUGCCUGUUUGAGUAUCAUGAACACCUCAACUCUUGCGGUUUGCCGCAAUGAGCUUGGACUUUGGGGGUUUGCUGGCCUGCAGUCAGCUCCUCUCAAAUGAAUCAGCUUACCAGUGUUUGGUGGCAUUGCGGGUGUGAUAACCAUCUACGCUUGCGGUUGCCUGCCAGAUAACCUUCAGUGAUGCAGGUUCGCUGGAGCUAACAAACGUCUCUCCUCUGCAGGGACAGCUUUUGACGUUCGAUCUCAAAUCAGGUAGGACUACCCGCUGAACUUAA